GUUCAUCAAUCUAAUGGAAGACUUACGAGACACCUAGUUGCACUCAUCAUCAUUCUGAAGUAGAAGACAUUUAUGAAAAAAUGUACCAACAACCAAGAGGGGAGUCGGGAACUGUCAGAGCGAAAGCGCACAUCCGUGUUCUUGGACUGGGACUCAGCUUGUAGCUGUCUGGUUCUGCACUGUGGGGAAAGAAUUUCACUGGAAGGACAGGAGGCGAAGACAGUGGACAGAGUGAUGGAGUGAAGGUAAGUGGGGUCAGGGUGCUAACAGCAUCAGGCAGCGGAGCAGUCAAAGCCCCAGGCCUUGCACAUCGAAAGCCCUGUGUGCAAAAGCACUAGCUGCAGGCUUGGUGCUCAUUCUCGGCCAACGUCUACAUUGUGCACUGAGGUGUUUGUUUUAAGUUCCAGCCUGAAAGGAAUUGAAAUCCUUAUGGGAGGCAAGAGGCAGGGAUAAGGCUCUGUCAGGGAUGGCAGGGUGACAAAACUGUAUAAUUUGUCAGUGACUCCAAG
rnacentral:lncRNA from 1 species